rnacentral:rRNA from 1 species
AUACGUAGGUGGCGAGCGUUGUCCGGAAUUACUGGGCGUAAAGGGCGCGUAGGCGGCCUGUCAAGUCAGAUGUGAAAUCCCCGGGCUUAACCCGGGAACUGCAUUUGAAACUGGCGGGCUUGAGGGCAGGAGAGGAAAGCGGAACUCCCAGUGUAGCGGUGAAAUGCGUAGAUAUUGGGAGGAACACCAGUGGCGAAGGCGGCUUUCUGGACUGUCACUGACGCUGAGGCGCGAAAGCCAGGGGAGCGAACGGGAUUAGAUACCCCGGUAGUCCUGGCUGUAAACGAUGGGUACUAGGUGUUGGGGGUAUCGACCCCUCCAGUGCCGCAGCAAACGCAUUAAGUGUUCCGCCUGGGGAGUACGGCCGCAAGGCUAAA